rnacentral:rRNA from 1 species
AGAACGAACGCUGGCGGCAUGCCUAAUACAUGCAAGUCGAACGAACACUUCGGUGUUAGUGGCGCACGGGUGCGUAACGCGUGGGAAUCUGCCCUUGGGUUCGGAAUAACAGUUGGAAACGACUGCUAAUACCGGAUGAUAUCGAAAGAUCAAAGAUUUAUCGCCCAGGGAUGAGCCCGCGUAGGAUUAGCUAGUUGGUGAGGUAAAGGCUCACCAAGGCGACGAUCCUUAGCUGGUCUGAGAGGAUGAUCAGCCACACGUGGGACUGAGACACGGCCCAGACCUCCGUACGGGAGGCGAGCAGGUAGGGAAUAGUUAGGACAAGUGGGACGACAAGCCUGACUCCGAGCAAGUCGCCGGCGUGGAGUGAGUGAAGGUCCGUUAGGGUUAGUAAGGUCUUCGUUUACCCGAGUAGUAGAUAAGUGACGAGUAGUA